rnacentral:rRNA from 1 species
AUACGUAGGGGGCGAGCGUUGUCCGGAAUUACUGGGCGUAAAGGGCGUGUAGGCGGCCUGAUAAGUCAGAUGUGAAAACCCCGGGCUUAACCUAGGGAUUGCAUUUGAAACUGUUGGGCUUGAGGGCAGGAGAGGAAAGCGGAAUUCCCAGUGUAGCGGUGAAAUGCGUAGAUAUUGGGAGGAACACCAGUGGCGAAGGCGGCUUUCUGGACUGCACCUGACGCUGAGGCGCGAAAGCUAGGGGAGCGAACGGGAUUAGAUACCCCGGUAGUCCUAGCCGUAAACGAUGGGUACUAGGUGUGGGAGGUAUCGACCCCUUCCGUGCCGCAGUUAACGCAAUAAGUACCCCGCCUGGGGAGUACGGCCGCAAGGUUGAA